rnacentral:misc_RNA from 3 species
AGCAGCCGCGGUAAUUCCAGCUCCAAUAGCGUAUAUUAAAGUUGUUGCAGUUAAAAAGCUCGUAGUUGAAUUUCGGGAUCAAAGAAUCGGUCAUGCCUUGGUAUGUACUGGUUUUAUUGGUUCUCACCUUCUAAAGAACCAUGAUGUCAUUCAUUUGAUGUUAUGGGGAAUUAGGACUGUUACCUUGAAAAAAUUAGAGUGUUUAAAGCAAGCUUACGCUUGAAUACAUUAGCAUGGAAUAAUGAAAUAGGACAUCAGAUUCUAUUUUGUUGGUUUCUAGGAUCGAUGUAAUGAUUAAUAGGGAUAGUUGGGGGCAUUAGUAUUCAAUUGUCAGAGGUGAAAUUCUUGGAUUUAUUGAAGACUAACUACUGCGAAAGCAUUUGCCAAGGAUGUUUUCAUUAAUCAAGAACGAAAGUUAGGGGAUCGAAGACGAUCAGAUACCGUCGUAGUCUUAACCAUAAACUAUGCCGACUAGGGAUCGGAUGAUGUUAAUUUUUUAAUGACUCAUUCGGCACCUUAC